AUAAAAUCAAACUCAGAGCUCAAGCAAAUUUUUACCUAGAAAUGCAACAAUUCCACGAUCAGAGGAAGAAGGAGCCAUUGCUAGCUUCAUUUGAUCGGUGCACAAUUUCUCUUAUCUUGGAAUUGCUAGCUUAAUAAGUAUCCUAUCAAGUGAUCCUGGUUUGGUAACUCGUUUGGUAACUCAUGGAUAUUCCCAUUCAGACAAGCUUGUUGAAAUUAAAGCUUUUAAAGUUGAAGCUCAUAUUGAGGUUGGAAGUUUGACUGAGCCAGCCAAUUAAGUAACACGGCCGGCAUUGUUAUCCUUCUUAUUUGUUUAUGAACUACACUUCAAAAAAUGGCGUGUGUCACGAGUGCCCGACGACAGGAGUAAUUUAAUUUUUCCUAUUUUUGAAUCUGCUAUAUCCAAGAGGUUUCUGCUAUCAUAUUCAUUGUAUUUAAAAAAUUUUUAAUGCUUGCCGAGGGAUGUAAAGUAAUAUAUCCUCAUACCUAGUUAGAAGUAACAGGUAAAAUGGUUUCGGAUCUUUGAAGUGUAAAUUGCACAAAGCCUGAACUAUCUCUAUGCUGUUAAUUCGAUGGCCCUUUUGUUGUCUACUAUUUUUAAACGUUGAUGAGUUCCAUCUUGUUGGUUUACAUGAAUUAGAACCUCUCAGUUAAUAGACUUUGCUCAUCCAACCAAAGAACAUGGGCGCCUUUUUUUGGACUUUAAAGUUAAUAUACUUUGCAAGUGUUGCAGACUCUAUGCCAGUUCAAUCUCAUGCUAUGUCUUGUGGUUGAAGACUAAUUGUUCAUUAGCUGUUAUGAUUUCUAGCUUUCUUCUUCUUCUUCUCACUAAAACAAUAGCAACUUUCAAGAUUUGAUAUUUUUCCUAUUCCCCAGUCCCCAAUCUUUAAGCUUCUAUAUAUUUGGCUUCACUCUUUGCUAUCCUUUGUAUUAUGAUUGGCCAUUGAUGUUUUGUUGCUUUGCAAAGUUCCUCACUGUUGAAUAGCGUUAGAUAUGAAGAGCUGCAGGGCAUAUGCAAGGGGUUUGACCACCAUUGUCCUGAUUUCAGGAAUUGUAUAGGUGAUUAUUGUCUUUUAAUUACAAUUUUCUUUGUAAGAUUGAUCAAAGCCUUCUCAGAGAGCUUUCAUUUGUGAAUGGCCAUUUCACUUGUUGCUGCUUGGAAUAAUUGAUAACUGCAUUGUGCAGGGCAGAAUAAUCAUGCCCUCUUCAUGGUUCUUCUAGUUGGGUUUCUUAGUACUGAAGCUUCUUAUGUGAUGUGUUCAUUUCAGU
rnacentral:misc_RNA from 1 species